AUUGACACUUUUCAAAACCUAACCCUCCUCUUGUUCUUCUCCUGCUGCUUGUUUGUUUUAUAAAGAUAAAAGAAUAUAGUUUGUGGGUGGGAGAAAAAUCUAUCCGAGAACAACUCCUGCUUACUUUGUUUGUGUAGGUGUGAAAAAAGUUCGUGAGAGAAAAUAAAAUACAAAGUAGGAAAGGGAAAGGGAACACAAUACAAUAUAUGCUCUGAUUUAAGAUUGUUACUACCUCCGGAAUGGAGUCCCCAACUGAAUCGGAUGACGAUGAAGACCCUCAAAUUGCUUGUCACACAAUUUUGGCUUUGGUGGUUUUAGGGAAAAUGAAAUAGAGUUUGGCCUUUGGAUGAUGAUAGUGCAGUUACUGCAGCUUGAAGUUUGUUUUAUUAUAACUUUGUCCAAACUUCCAUGUCUGCCUUUGAAACGAGCAUGGAUCCUCCAGCUUAUUAAUAAGCACUCAAAUCUUCAUCCAGCAUAGUAUUUCCGUUCCUUGUUCACACAAACGUAGUUGCUCCAAUCCUUAACUCCUUCAAACGGAUGCACUCACUCCACCUGCGUCCACCUUCUCCGACUUCUCAGGUUUUACCUUCACAGACGGUAGCCACCACUAUCUCCGACUUUGUCUUCGACUCCUCAGGACAAUGGUUUUGGAAGUAGGCAAGGGGAUACCUGGGAAAAGGUCAACCAGAUUCGGGAUAAAUUUGAGUAUGACAGAGAAAGGAGAAUGAGAGAGAAAGCAUUUGCACCCAUGUCUGGAGAAGCUCCUUCUAACUUCCAUGAUAUGAAUUCCCCGAGGCAGCCUGACUUACAUGAUAUGAACUCCCGGAGACAGCCAUUUGAUGCCCAGAGAUACUUCUCGGAUUCUGAAAGAGAGUGAAGAAGAACUUCUAAUGGUCUAUGCACUUAUGUAUGUACACGACAAGAGGCUUGGAAAGGCGCAGCAUUUCCUUUUCAUCUCUUCCUCGACUGUCACUGUGAUGACUUCUGGUAUCUGUACUACUACCCACAACAGGCAGCUUGUUCUUGUAGCGGUUGGCAGGUUUGAAUCGAUUGAUAUUGCUCUUUGAAAAUGCAUAGGAGUUUUGAUAUUUUAAUCCCAUCAGAAUUGCAUAUUGUAUACGUAUUAGCCAAAUUAUGAUUUAUGCAGUUUGUGUUGUUACUAAUUACUAUUUGUUAUUCUUGAAUAAUUGGCGACAAAUCAAACUAAAUGGAUUAAAGUGCAAAUCUACUCAAA